AUACUUGCCUGGCAGAGGAGACACCAUGAUCACGAAGGUGGUUUUCCCAGGGUGAGGCUUAUCCAUUGCACUCUUGCAACUUCCCCAAAUGUGCGAAACUUGACUCCAUAAUUUGUGGUGGGGGGGGACUGCGUUUGUGCUUCCCCACC
rnacentral:snRNA from 1 species